rnacentral:rRNA from 1 species
AUUCCGACUUUAUAGGAUCAUGCUGCUCCGCGACGAGGCGGCACGUCGGAACGCCGUGAUUUGUCCGGCUGGAGGACGCAUUUGUCUCCCGCCCGAAGGACCCGGCAACCGGUUCGGAAACGGCCUGAAGGGCGAGUGCACGGCAGGUGGCCGGUGAUUCCGCCACGUUGCGGGUCGUCGGUUGUUAGCCAACUCGUCGCACGGCUCGUGGCCGGACCGUGGUGUCUCUAGGCCCAUCAUGGGCUUCUCCGCCUCCUCCGUUAACUCGGACGGCGGGAUCCGGCGACAGGGGUUCGGACUACCGCGGGCGCACGGACUGACUCCGUGGCCCAGUGGUAAUGAAUCGUCCCCGAGAGUCGCUUGAGCAACCCGUUUCGGAGGUUCGGCGGUUAGCCGGGAGUAGAUCGGUCACCCACCCGACCCGUCUUGAAACACGGACCAAGGAGUCUAACAUGUGUGCGAGUCAAUGGGUCUCGAAUAAGCCCAAAGGCGCAAUGAAAGCAAAGGUCGGACAUGAGACGCCGACUGUGUUGGGAUCCUCCCACCUGUGCGUGGGAGGCGCACCAACGACCCGUCCUGUUCGAUUUAUCGAUUUGGCGGAGUCUGAGCAUACACGUUGGGACCCGAAAGAUGGUGAACUAUGCCCGGGCAGGACGAGGCCAGAGGAAACUCUGGUGGAGGUCCGCAGCGGUUCUGACGUGCAAAUCGA